rnacentral:rRNA from 1 species
GAAUAUUGGACAAUGGGGGAAACCCUGAUCCAGCGAUGCCGCGUGUGUGAAGAAGGCCUGCGGGUUGUAAAGCACUUUUCUUAGCGAAGAAGAAAGGCCGUUUAAGAGAUAGUCUUUUUGACGUUAGCUAAGGAAUAAGCACCGGCUAACUCUGUGCCAGCAGCCGCGGUAAUACAGAGGGUGCGAGCGUUAAUCGGAAUCACUGGGCGUAAAGGGCGAGUAGGCGGAAAAACACGUUAGAUGUGAAAGCUACGGGCUUAACCUGUAAACUGCGUUUAAUACGGUUUUUCUUGAGAUCACUAGAGGGGAGUGGAAUUUCCGGUGGAGCGGUGAAAUGCGUAGAUAUCGGAAGGAACAUCAAUGGCGAAGGCAGCUCCCUGGGGUGAAUCUGACGCUGAGGAGCGAAGGCGUGGGUAGCAAACAGG